AGAGACCCAUUGCCUCUUGUAACCAGACACUGGGGCUUUCCAGGAGCCCAGGGAGAGAGCCGAGAAGAAAGGGGGCAGUGUGGUCUAGGAAAAUUCAACUUGUCGCUGAUUUGUGCCUGAUGCUUGCUGUCCGUCAGCAGCCUCCCUUACAAGCCUUUUUUCCUCUCUCUCCUUUUUUUCUCCCCUUGCCUUCUUCUUCAGUGAAGCCUAGGGGAGCCAGUAAAGAUUAAAUGUGCUUUCUCAAAGGCAGCCACUUCAUGCUGCUAUGUCGAAAGGGCUAUUAUUAUUAUUAAUAUGAGAGAGAGAGAGGGAGAGAGAGAGGGAGAGAGAGAGACUAGGUAUGGUGAUGACGGUCUGGCUUUUCGGAGAGCAAAAGGGAGAGAAAAAAGGAGAGACCAUGAGCUGAACCAAGGACUGUGUAUGAGCUGAACCUACAGAGUCUGCACAGGAAAGCGCCGCUUCCAGGCAGAGGAGGUUCGAGAAAGCGACUCUAUCAGGUACAGCACUAGUAGCUGUCUGUGAAGAUGGAGGGGGAUUACGCCUCGGAUUCUUCUGAAAUAUUGGCCAAAGGCUUCAAAGGAUCCGCAGCGGGAGGCGAGGGUGGGGGAGCAUCUCCCCAGCUCGCACCCACCCCUUCCCACUUUGCGUCUACCAAAUGACAGGCUGGUGCUCGCUCUGGGUGAUUUUGGCCUUGGCCUCAGCCAAGCAGCUGAUGCAGAGGAGGGCCAGCUUUGCAAGACUGACAGAACUCUGAAUGCUAGAGAAAGAAGAAGAAAAAGAAAAAGAAUUUUUUUUUUCCGAGCAGUCCUUGGGAGAUUUUCUCGUUCUCUCUCGAUUUAUUUAUUUAUUUCUAUUUUUUUUAACCGACUAUUUUCCAAAUUCGAUCAGCCCCAGCCCCUCCCUCCACUCCCACCCAACAGCCUUCCCCCCACCCCCCACCCCCGGUCAAAGCAUAAACCACAGAGUUACGGUCUUCUUUGGAUUUUGGAGUAUCGCUUCCUGCCCCCGCCUUCCCUCCCCGCCCCAUUCUCUGUCCUAUUGAACACCUCGCCCAGCCUAGAGCUCACAUUCUCCCCCUGCUCCCGAUGGCGCUCCUGGAAGCUCUGCAACUAUGCUCCACUUCAAAUGGGGAGGGUAGACCUGAAGCUUUCUUCUUUGUACACACUGACACAAGACUGCUGCUGCAUUGAUUCUUGAGCAAGGCGAACAAUGGAAGAAAGCCACUUUUUGUUGUUAAAGUGAGGUAGCAUUUCUGCUGUAGUUAGAAAGAGCAUUGUCUCUCCAGUGUCCCAAAUCACUUCCAUUAAACAGUCAAUGUGAUAACUGUCUGUGACAUGUUCUAUUAUCUUUCUAGUUGUUCUGAUGUUCCUUUCAGCUGGUCCUAUAGCCCCCUUUCUCAGUAAUGUCUCCCCAGUGAAAGGAAAAAGACUGCAGAGGCUUCAGACUGACGGACGCUCAUGCCAACUGUGAAGUUGAAACAAAGCCAGUGACCAGCUGAAGAGGCCCCUCCUGCCCAGCAGCCACCCACAUGGUGCAGUUGCAGCCAGUAGUAAUCUUUGCAAGAAGCAGAGAAGCCCAGAACACUCAUGAGUCAAAACCAUGCCCUUCCUUGUGUGUAUCCCUGUCUCGUUCAGAUUGAUGCUCCUUCCAUUUGGAUCCUGGUAUGAAUAUGCUUGUUACUGUACGAGUGUAAAAAGCUUUGCCCAAAUGUGUUAAUGUAUGAAGAGACUGGAUUUUUUUUGGGGGGGGGAGAGAGUUAUUUUUAUCAAAACACAGUGUUCGUUCUUGAGAGUGAUCUAGAAAAUAAAAAGCAGUUGGAAAAGACAGCAAAGCAGUCACAGGCGAUCCACAGAGAUGCUCACACCACCACACAGAAACACCACACCAUGCUCCCAGACUCUGAGCAGGGAGCUUGACUCUGUGACAUACUAUGGCUGCUGCCAGGGGUCAACGUCAAGCCAGACAAAGGUGCAGAAGCUUCCUGAAGUGUAGUGAUAAACUGAGUCAGGAGACAAUAAGAACAGCAACGACACAAAAGACAACGUCCUUGGAGGGAGCCAAGUGGGUUUGCUUAAGGAAGGAUGCUCCCUUAAAGAGAGAAUGGGAAAUCAACCUUUAAAGGAUGUAAAAACAAAACUAGAUAAAUGGGAAGAUAGGAGAAAAUAGAGUCCUUAAUGCAAGCAUAAGGGUAAGCAGCAGACGGGCAGAGGAGAUCCACAUGGUGAGUCUUGGAGACUACACAUAUCUCGUCUUGAUUUUGCCUGACACUUGGAACCGCUGUCUGUGUGUCUAGUAGAGAUGCUGCACACAGGUAUCUCCCCUCCCCCACCCCGAAUGUCACCUAAACCAAACUAGAACUAAAGUUCCAGUUCUGUGUCACUACAAAGAUUGGUUGGUGAUUCCUGAAUAGAAGUCAUGAUUCUUCUGUUCGUGAUUGCUUGUUACCAAGUUUAUUCCAUACAGAAAAUGUUUUGCAUAUUAAAUCUCAUGGUUGCUAUGAAAACGACACAUUAUCCACCUUUCACAGGUGAAGGAACUGAUUUUGGUGAGGUUGAGCGCCUGGCCAAGGUGCUACGUGCAGCUAUGCACAUUCAAGGUUGUGGUCAUGAAACUCAGUCCCUAGUCUGACUUUUGUGAUGAGUCCCAACACAGUUGUCACCUUUACCAUAGCCCUUAAUGCCUGUCUACAGAAAGACAUGGCUUUUCUGCUGACUUACAGCCACAGUAUUUCCUACUUCCAUGCUGAAUUAUACCAGAAUGAUAAAACGUAUUUUCAUGGAAGAAAAUUGAGAAUUUAGUGAAAUACACUGCUUGCCAGCAGUUUGUAUGUUUCUUCUUCAUUUUGGUCUGAGACUUUUGAUUUAGUUCUGCAUGAAAUCUCAAAGUUUUAAGAGCAGUAAGGGAAGGGCCUUAAGUUACCUGUUAUAGUACUUUGUGACAGAAGAUGUAAAUCUACAACCUGUAAUCAGAGUGACUUUACAAACAAACAACAAAAAGACACCCCUCCCCACAAAAACUCAAAUCAAACCAACCAACCAAACAACAAAAUAAACAAAACCGCCCACUUAAUUGGAAAUGUCCCAACAAAGACCAGAAACUAAGUCCUCUUUCAAUGGCUUUUAAAUUAUUCCACCCUGUCCUAAAGAAACAUGAACUUGUAUUUGACUAAAGGCACCAAUGUUGCAUAGAUUGGAUCUCAUAAAAUCUAGUUUCUUCCUUCCUUGGUACUCAUGUCAAUGUUAAAUACAGCUAUGAACUAGUGUAUCUAUGUCAAGAAGUUGUCAAUGAUCUGUCCCCAAAGAACACAGAAUAGCCAAUGUUGUAUAUAUACUCCUUCUUUAAUCCAGCCAUGGAGUCAUUAGUUCACCUGCACCAAUCCAAUCCAUUGUGCAUCUUCUCAACCAACCUGACCUAUGGCAAUCAUUUGCAAGUGCUAUAAAUGUUUAUCUAUGACUGUUCCAGAAAUAGUUAGGUAUUAACAAAUACCACUAGUCAUUUUGUGGUGUAAUCUUCAUUUAUCUGUAUCACUAAUUCAAGAAGACUUUGGCCAUAAAAACCUAGAACUAAAAAUCGCAUUCUUGGCUUUCAGCCACUCUACAUUUGAUUGACAUUUCACAGUGAUUAAUAAAUUGUCCAUCUAAAUAACAUAGAUGUCCAGAUUGUGAUUUUUGUCUUGAAUGAGACCGUUAAACUGGGUAGGCUAAGGGACAGAUGUCUAACUUUUUGAGGUACCUGGAUAUUUAACUGAUGUAAUUUUCUACUUAGCUGUUUGACAUUGUUGUAUGUAGUCCUGGUCAUGGCUUUGACUGUUCUCUUUUUUCAAAAUGCUUGUUGGCUCUGUCUUACACUGUUCUCACUGAUCUCAUAAAUAAACAGGUUUGUUGUUAAAGAGUAGCCCAAGCACAAAGUGUGAUGUUGUUGACAUUUUACAAGACUUUCCUUGGUCCCUGACUCCCAAUAAAAGAAAUGUUGCAUUAACUGUGAA
rnacentral:lncRNA from 1 species